CCUACGGGAGGCUGCAGUAGGGAAUAUUGCACAAUGGGCGAAAGCCUGAUGCAGCAACGCCGCGUGCGGGAAGAAGGCCCUAGGGUUGUAAACCGCUUUCAGCAGGGAAGAAAAUGACGGUACCUGCAGAAGAAGGUGCGGCCAACUACGUGCCAGCAGCCGCGGUAAGACGGAGGAUGCAAGUGUUAUCCGGAAUCACUGGGCGUAAAGCGUCUGUAGGUGGUUUAAUAAGUCUAUUGUUAAAGCUUGAGGCUUAACUUCAAAAUCGCAAUGGAAACUGUUAGACUUGAGUAUGGUAGAGGUAAAAGGAAUUUCCAGUGGAGCGGUGAAAUGCGUAGAUAUUGGAAAGAACACCGAUGGCGAAGGCAUUUUACUGGGCCAUUACUGACACUCAGAGACGAAAGCUAGGGUAGCAAAUGGGAUUAGAUACCCGUGUAGUC
rnacentral:rRNA from 1 species